rnacentral:rRNA from 1 species
UACGUAGGGUGCAAGCGUUAAUCGGAAUUACUGGGCGUAAAGCGUGCGCAGGCGGUUCGGCAAGAAAGGUGUGAAAUCCCAGGGCUUAACCUUGGAAUGGCACUUUUAACUGCCGAGCUAGAGUAUGUCAGAGGGGGGUAGAAUUCCACGUGUAGCAGUGAAAUGCGUAGAGAUGUGGAGGAAUACCGAUGGCGAAGGCAGCCCCCUGGGAUAAUACUGACGCUCAUGCACGAAAGCGUGGGGAGCAAACAGG